UACGGGGGGGAGCAAGCGUUUGUUCGGAUUUACUGGGCGUAAAGGGCGCGUAGGCGGCCUCCGCAAGUCAGUUGUGAAAUCUCCGAGCUUAACUCGGAAAGGUCAACUGAUACUGCGGGGCUAGAGUGCGGAAGGGGCAACUGGAAUUCUUGGUGUAGCGGUGAAAUGCGUAGAUAUCAAGAGGAACACCUGCGGCGAAGGCGGGUUGCUGGGCCGACACUGACGCUGAGGCGCGAAAGCUAGGGGAGCGAACGGG
rnacentral:rRNA from 1 species